rnacentral:rRNA from 1 species
CAUGCAAGUCGACGGCAGCACGGGGGCAACCCUGGUGGCGAGUGGCGAACGGGUGAGUAAUACAUCGGAACGUGCCCAGUCGUGGGGGAUAACUACGCGAAAGCGUAGCUAAUACCGCAUACGAACUCUGGUUGAAAGCGGGGGACCGUAAGGCCUCGCGCGAUUGGAGCGGCCGAUGGCAGAUUAGGUAGUUGGUGGGGUAAAGGCUCACCAAGCCGACGAUCUGUAGCUGGUCUGAGAGGACGACCAGCCACACUGGGACUGAGACACGGCCCAGACUCCUACGGGAGGCAGCAGUGGGGAAUUUUGGACAAUGGGCGCAAGCCUGAUCCAGCCAUUCCGCGUGCAGGAUGAAGGCCCUCGGGUUGUAAACUGCUUUUGUACGGAACGAAACGCGCUGAGCUAAUACCUCGGCGUAAUGACGGUACCGUAAGAAUAAGCACCGGCUAACUACGUGCCAGCAGCCGCGGUAAUACGUAGGGUGCAAGCGUUAAUCGGAAUUACUGGGCGUAAAGCGUGCGCAGGCGGUGAUGUAAGACAGAUGUGAAAUCCCCGGGCUCAACCUGGGAACUGCAGUGGAUACUGGGCGACUAGAGUGUGGUAGAGGAUAGUGGAAUUUCCGGUGUAGCAGUGAAAUGCGUAGAGAUCGGAAGGAACAUCUGUGGCGAAGGCGACUAUCUGGGCCAACACUGACACUGA